rnacentral:lncRNA from 1 species
CCUGUGGCAUAUGGAAGUUCCCAGGCUAGGUGUCAAUUCAGAGCUGCAUCUGCCGGCCUACACCACAGCCGCAGCAGUGUGGGAUUGAGUCGUGUCUGUGACCUACACCACAGCAACACCAGAUCCUUAACUCACUGAGUGAGGCCAGGGAUUGAACCCACAUCCUCAUGGAUACUAGUCGGGUUCUCAACAUGCUGAGCCACCACAGGAACUCCCCAAAUUUCUUUGCCAUAAGUUUCACCAAUUGGUGGCCCACAUUUUAAAGACUUGCUAUAUAUGGUGUAUUAGAAAUGUCCUGAUGUGGAAAGUUUUAAUCAAUCAAAUCAGGCUUGAUUUAGUGGGAUUUUGUGGACAAAUCUUUGUCCUCAGCUGUAUAAUAAUUACAAGCUGUUUUACCAGUGGAUAAGGAAAGGAUUACUCUCCUCUUUGAAAAUGGUAACUUUAUAAUUACAUGUAUUUACUUGCCUUAUCAGAAUAGAGUUUACCAGCUGAGACACAGGAUUAUUUUUAUUUAAAAGACUCCUGGCUAAAUUGAACAAGCACACAUUUGAGGAGAGUUUAGCUUUUGUAGACAAUUGUUCCUGGCAUGAAUAAAGAAUAAAUAAUCUGAAAUGGAUUUUGUUUUUUCCUUCCUUUCUGAAAUGUAUAUAUACUUGGCACAAAAGUUACCUAGAUGGUUAAUUCAGCCCAACCCAUGAUACUAUUUAGAAAUGUACAGAUAUUUAUCAACAACUUGGUGUAUUCAGUGUGCCAACGUGCUUUAGCCAAAGCUUUGGAUUUCAUGUGGGAAGUUUAAUGGUUGUGAAUCAGAAUCUGCCAAAACUUUAAGACAACUUUUCUGUUUAGAAUUCACUUUUCCUUCUUGCUGGCCCACUAAAAUCUGCAACUCACUUCUGUGUCAUAUAUGCCUGAAGAGGACUAUGCUUUUCUCUCAAGUGUUUGUUACAAUUCCAAAUUAAGUUCAUAAGGAAAUAAUAAUAAAUCUAGAUAAUCUGGAUUCCAUUUCUCUUAGCCAGAUCUUCUUGAAUUGAUUUUUCCACCCAAUAUCAAAAUUUUGUUUCAGCUACAUAAACAUUUUGCUUCUCUUUAGCCAGAUGUCUUUAUAAACAAGAGUUCCUUCCUUAUCCUUCCCAAUCUCUCUAAUGUUCCCUAAACUCUUUCUAAAAUUGUUGAGAACAUAAACAUCUCUGAGUCAGAAACUUUGUCUUCUGUUUUUUUUAAUUUCCUAAUAAGGCACCAGCACCACUUCUUCGUGAACACUUCCUCAUCCUUGCUUCCUAAAAUACUAACAGAUUGGAGCCAGAGAAAGGCAAAUCAAGUGUCCUUCUUACCAUGAACACAGGGAAAUUGCUGUAUGAUGCUUGGUCUGCUUAUUGAGGAAAGAAACCCCAAGCAUUCAGGCAUUAAGGGACAGCCACAGAGCUUUCAGCUGUAUCCGUCCACUUGGCAGCCAUCCAUUCUGCAAGUCUUCAAUCAUGCUAGGGUGUGAGGCCCAGAGACAGAGCCUUGAUUAUUCCUUUGACUCGCAUCAAAAAGAACCUUGGCAGGUUGACUGUGGCUGACUAGCCUGGAAAAGUUCUCAUUCAGAAUAUUUGAGCCCUAGGCUUGCUGCUCCUACUCUUGAGUCCACAGGGACUAAAGGAUGGCAGGUUCCUGGAUGGAGUGAGCGCAGAUGCCCAGUGGGGCCGGUGGCUGGCUCUGUGUCUGAUGACUCCCCUGACCUCUGUGCCUCUGUAUAUUUCCCGACCAUUCUCCGUACCAAGUUUUUAUCUUCUUUCCCUUCCUGAGUCCCUGCUCCCUUGCAAGUUGAGAGGGACCUGGCCCCCACAUAUACCCCAGCCUGUCCAAGCACAUCUUCCCCUCUCUCCACCCUUCAGUUCUGAUGUUACUGUCAUUGGGAGUGUGGCUCCUGGAGCAGGGCUCUGAUGUUCUCUGUAAGGGCAUGUCCAUUUUCCUCUCUCAUCUUCACUUGUCUUCUGUUCCCACUCUCAUGGUGCCCAUUUUCUGCACACCCGGCUCCUCAUCUCACUUUCUGCCUCACCAUUGUCCACUCCCCUGUCUUCACCUCCUCUCCUACACUGUCCCACAUGGGUGCUUCUUUACUGGGACUGAUUCCAAUUCACACUGGCAUCUAUUGCCUCACCUCCUUUUAGUCACUAGCAUCUUCUCCCUAGUGUUUAAUUCAUCAUCUCCAGGUUAAACCAGAUGAGACAUUGGAGACAAUCCUGUUCUGUCAUCAAGGCUUAAACCCUCUCAUUGUCUCAAUCGAUAAACAUUUCUGAAUGCUGAAGCUUCACCACACUUAAACAUCAGACCAAGUCUCACAGGACCUCCCAAAAGUAUUAGGCUAGCUAAAGCUUUUAUACCUAGUAUUUAAGUUUCCAGGCAAGGAAUCUACUAUAUUUGGCAAUUUGUGUUCUCAUUUUACCCCUAGAUAGUUCAUGUGACUAACUGAAAUUUUUAUGUGGGACAUCUGCUGCCUUGCACAAGAAAAAGACUAAUGCACCUUAAAUAAAGUAGUCACUGUACUUGCAGGACUAGGACUCCUUUAAGAAGGUGGUCUCUGUAUUAUGCACUGUUCUGUUUUGUUCUUAUUGAUGCAAUGACUUGAGACUCUCCAACACCUUAAUAAAAAAGUUUAGUGUAAGGUGUUAAUAGAAUUGCACCUACUCUGACUUUCUCCCUUUGUUCUUCCUUGGCCCCUCCACCCUCUCAGCCUCUCACUAAAGCCGGACUGCUUCCUCUGUGUUCCCUGGACGUCCAGACCCCACAGGCUGCCAAUCUUUUAAGCGUAGGCAAUAACCAUCACUACUGUUUCUACAGUCCAUCCAAUGAGGCCAUGCCAUUGGGGUCUUUGAGGGGACCCAGCAGAUGCUUUCCCAUCUGGGUUCUGAUCCUGAUAAAAAAUAAGAAAAAAAGUCUAAGGAAACCAAAAUAUUACCAUUACUGAUUGAGAAGUUGAAGGAGGCACCUCAUUGUGUACCAUCAAUGAGCUUUCUUACUCUGAACCCCAGAAUUAGACAGCUCUUCACAUCCAGUCAUGGGCACUGCUGAACUUGGGCAGGCCUCCCAUCGCCCUGUGCAGAAACCCUGAGGGAUAGGGGUGACCUGAGAUUACUGUGAGCAGCAGAUCAAGGGAAGCGCCAAGGAAGGGGCUGGACUACACAGCCAGAUAAGCCUCUCCACUGCCACUGGGGAGCCAGCGAUAGUCAAAGAAGAGACAAGGAAUGUUAUGCCAAUUACUGCCUCUCUGCAUGGAAGGAAAGGCCCCUCUCAAGUACAUCAGAGAUCUUUAGUCUGCCUUAGGAGUGAGCUGCCUGCUGGUCAGGUGCCUGCCCCAGCCUAGGCAGUGGACAUCUCUUCCAAAACAGGAGUCUGCAGUUGUUCUCCUGAGCAGAAGCUGGGGGUGGGGCUCUUCAGUAAGGAGCAUGGCAGGUCUGAGGACUGCUUAUGACCUCACAGUACCACCAUCUUUUCCCUGAGUGUUUUCUGAGUGACCAGUCAGAUAAUUUCCUCAUGCCUCUGUUUCCUUAUGGAACACUUGAAAAUCAUACUUGAUCAGCCAUCAAGGUGAGGGAAGAAACACACUUCUAUCAAGGAAAAGAUUCAGGCAGAUUCUGUCUGUGCUAUUGUACAGACAACAGUUGUGUCCUUUAAGAAGCCCCUCCCAGAGAGCACCACCUUGAGGCUGUUUGGGAGCUGAAAGACUGAUUUCCUCAUGGAAUGUUUUAGAACCCGGAUGACAGAUAGCUGUCAUCUCAUGCCACUUAUUAUAUUGGCAGUGGCUGCCUUCAGUGCUGUGCCAAGAAAAAUUCUGAGACUGUAUCCAGCUAGUGGAAAAUAAUUCUGUGAUUAUUAUUGCCCACCACAGAUGUGGGUAAAGAGACUGAGGGCCCUUAAGCCUAGUUUUGACUAUUGUUGGUCCACAGCACAGGUGGAAUUUUCUUCCCUAGACAUACAGCCAUCCCUGGCAUCAGAAGUAGGAAAUGGGGACUUCAAGCUGGAGAAGCACCAAGUGAGACUGGCUUCUUGUCCUCUGCAGCCACAGGGCCAAAACCUUGAUUGUAUAGCACACAGGUCUGCAGACUUUUUCUAUAAAUGGCCAGAUUCUAGUCCUUGUGAGCCAUGUAUUCCCUGUUGUGAUAACUCAGCUCUGCCAUCAUGGUGCCAAAAGGAAUUGGGAAUAGUUGUGCCAUAGUAAAUGUUCUUUUACAGAAGCAGACAGUGGGGUGUGGUUUGUAGCCCAGUGUAGAGAAGAGGCCAACAUUAAGUCCUAGGAUUCUGGAAAACUCCCCCAGUACCUAUGGCUAAAUCCCCCUCCAUCCUCAGCUCUGAAGGAUUUCAUUAAGCACCAACAAAGCAUUUGACAGGCAAUAUUAAGCUCUCAGAAUCAAACUUCCUCUCAGGAAGGUAUUCGCAAUGAUGUCUACUCCGUCAUUCUCACAGGUACAUUCAAAGCAUGCACAGGUACAUUCAAAGCAUGGCAGGUCACUUCUCAUGCAGCAGUGGAGUUCCAAAGUCAGCCUGGCAGACAGAAGCCUCACACCACCACAAUGACCUUUGAAAAUUCCUGCAGUCACCCAAAAAUUAAAACGUACAUGGAUUAAAUGUCAUGAAGUAGACUCGGGGAAGGCAUAAAAGGGAAGUCCACAUGCAAAUGUUUGGGCAUAUGAACAUUCCUUCUUUAAAAGAACACUCCUAUUCCUUCAAGUAUGGACUGUAACAUGCUCCUGCUUGCCUGAGGGUUCCUUCUGUUCUAGUUCAACCUACCUUUGGUUUACAUGAGCAUCUUUGUUGCUUUUUUGAGAGAGUUCAUAUAGUUGAAAACAAGAGCAUAAGUACCUAUCCUAAGCCAUCAACAGUUACAUGUUAAACUUGAUCCUAAACCUGUUUGCAUAAUCAUCAGCACAUGUACACCAUUCAUUGAAAUGUUAUAAAGAAUCUAGCCAUCAGCUUCUUGCCACUGCCGGCUGGCAUCGUAGGAAUGGCUGUCAUGCUCACAACCCUCAGCAUUCAGUGUUUUCUUACCCUGGAAGAUGAAAUCAUUGAAGCAAGUGGGUGCGCAUGAUAGAGCCCCAUGGGCUGGGAUACAAGGUAUUUCAGUAAGAUACUCAAUCCAGCUGCAGUAAUUUUCCUAGGUUGCUCAGCUAGUUGGUAAGGGAGCCAUGUUUAAAUCUCAGCUUCCUCAUCUGUGAAAGGGGGAGUAAAAAGGUGGCAACCUCACAGGGUUAUGGUAAGGAGCAGAUGAGUUUUAAAAUAACCUAGAAUGAUCACUGGCUCAAUAAAUGUUAGCUAUCAUUUUUAUCUGAGCUCCUGUCCACAACUUGGCUGUCUGCAAGGUGUGGGAUGUAAGAUGCCCAUCAUCUCGAAGGAAUGAGGGGCGCGGCUGCACAUGAGCUUUACCUCCGAUGUCCAAUGAAGUAUUCCUUUUCUCACCUUACCGUAACAAGGCACAAGAGAUGUGAUAAGCUUUCUAAAUUUACAUGUCACCAAGAAAAUGGACUUUCUAUAUCUGAUUGUCACUUGAAAGAAUAAUGAAGGAGGAGCAGGGGCCCAGGGAUAGUGGACGUUUGAGAAGAAAUCUUCUGCUUUAUUGAAUUUGGUUUGUUUCCACUGACCUCUCCUGUCCCUGGGGAGGAAAAGAAAAACCCAGUCACUCAAAUCAGGGGUCGAAAUAUUUUUAGGAUUUAUGAGCCAUGCUGUCUGUGUCACAGCUCCUCAGCUCUGCCACUAUAGCACAAAAGCAGCCAUCGACAAUCUGUAAAUGAAUCACUUUGGCUGUGUUCCACUGAAACUUUAUUUAUGGACACUGAAAUUUGAAUUGCAUAUAAUUUUCAUGUAUCACAAAAUAUUAUUCUGAUUUUUCCCCAACUGUUUAAAAAUGUAAAAACUAUUCUUAGCUCACAGGUUGUACAAAGGAGGCAGUAGGCUGGAUUUGUCCCACGGGCUGUGGUUUGCCUGUCCUGACUUAGAGCACCAGACUGAGAGUCAGACCUGUCACUGUUCACUGGUUAUUUGACCAAGUUAUCUCCCAUCCCUGGACUUCAACUUUUUCUAGGGAAAACAAGUGACUUAUCCUAAAGGAUCCCUGAUUCCUUCUAGCACUAAAAGGCCAAGGCUGCAUGGUUUUUAUGUAGCUAUGCACUCAGACAAACCAGGUUCUAGUCCUGGCUCAGCCUCUGAUUUGCUGGGGAAUGUUGGACAAAUUUUCUAUGCAUCCCAAUGCCUCAGUGGUCUCAUCUGUACUGUGGGAAUUAAAAAGCAAUGUUGCUAUGAAGAUUAAAGGGUUGCUAUGAAGAUUAAAGUCAUAGGAUAUUUGUGGACACCUUAACUCAUGUAUCCAACAAAUACUUAUUGUACCUAGUAUAUACUGAAUAGAAUAAGUGCUAACUAUUGUAUUC